UUUUUAUUAUUUAUUUUUUUAAAAAGGAAAUGGAAUCUAUGCAGCUUCUCGACUCUUCCAAAAUUCAUUCCAAUAACCUUUGCUUCAGAAAUUGCCAUUGUCUCUAUCUAUAAAUCAAAUCACAUCCUCUUCCAUUUUCCUUCGUAUCAUCUCCUCACAAUCUCACCAAUUCCAAAUCCUAAACCUUUGUCUACUCUCUUCUUUUCUGCAGGGAUCUUUGUUCUUGUCUGAUCUGUAUCUGUGUCUGUUUAUCGACAAUGGCACGUAUCCUUUUCUUGAUCUGAUCAUUUAUUAGAUACGUUACUUUUUUUUUUUUAGUAUAUAGUUUUAUUACAUAGGAGAAAUUUUAGGUUUUUAUUUUCUGUGAUACUUGUUUGGCUUUAAUUGAAGCAAACGUGGAAACCAGAGAGAACGUGAUCGUGAAAGAGCUCAAGCAAGAGGUAAUCAUAAGCCUAAGCAACUUAAGAACGAUGGAUUAACACCUGAACAACGUCGCGAAAGAGACGCGAGAGCAUUGCAAGAAAAGGCAGCUAGAAAGGCUGGACAAUCAAUGGGAGGAGGGAACCAUGACCAUGCCCUUCGCGUUGGAGGUAAAAUCAAGAAAUAAGACGAUCACGUAGUAAGGCUUUUUGGGAUAUUGUUGGUAUAUGUUAUUAAUUGGUUGAUCAUCCGAGAGUCGAUUCUAUAUCGUGGUGAGAGGGUUUCAAGAGUUGUGUUAAGUCUACGAGUGUGAUUCUUAUCUUUGCAUAUGAUGUUGGCUUAUGAACUUUUUGUUAUUCGUCUUAUUUCCAAUGGAAUGUGUUUAUUGAUCUUU